rnacentral:lncRNA from 1 species
ACUUUAGAAGCUCCCACUGACAGCCGGGGGCCCAGGAGAAACCCCAAUGCACCAGCCACGAUGGAACUUGGCAGCUUGACCCAGGCGACAUUGAUCAUCUCACACCAUUUCUGAGGUCAGGACGACAAGACAGCUGUGCUGCAACCUUUGUCACUGGUGGACCAUCAUCCACCUCGGAUACCCCGUGGUGUUUUCUCGUGGACUGCUUUCCUGGUUGGCGCUGGCUGUCCGGGGGAUGCUGGGUGCAUGGCUGUCCACUCUGCACACGUGUUUGGCAGGACACUUAUUGCAACUUUGCUGAAUUAAUCCACCCGAGAUGAGGUCACCCAUGUUAAGCCUUGGCUGCAGUGAAUUUCAAUAAAAGAAUUCAGCUGUACAC